rnacentral:rRNA from 1 species
UAAUACUUGUUAAGUACUUUUACUCCCCGGAGUAAUUGUAUGUAUUUGUUAAGACCCCUAAGAAAAAAUGAUAUUAAAGGAAUUAUAACAAAGAAGCAACACAUAAUAUAAUAUUCAGUGUGUAUCA